CCCUUAGUGACAGGAGUUUUAGUCAGAUAACUUGGAGCUUUUUGUAUGCUUAUUCUCAAGAAUGCACUUUUUCCCCGAACAGCGCGAGAGGUAGUUCACUUAUAAUGCUACCUCUAUGGCUAACAACCUUCUGUGAAAUUGAAGGUUUAUUUUUUGAUUGAGAAAGUAGCAUAUGGCCCCAAACCGGGGCACCUUGGCCAGACUUGGCCGACGCAACCCACACUUGGCCGUCCGCUCUCGUGCGUAGAAAACGUAAUGUUCUGGAUAUUGCUAGUUGCAUUGGUACGCUCGGAAAGUCUGGAACCACACAUAUCGUUUGUAACCAUGCACAGGUAGGCCAGGUAGGAGCCGUAGCAGGUGACGACCGCGCCCACGCUCGAAGCCCCGCCGUAAAACACGUGUCACAACCCUCAAUGAAAUCUUCUGUGCAGGAUGAUAGCAUAAGCCUAAUGCUGGCCGGCAAGGUCAUUACAUAGUUCUUGUUGCCAAGCGACUCGCAUCCGACCUGGCUGGUUAUCCAGGCCUCGCGUCCUACCUAGCGGACAGGUCGAGAAGGAAACUACUCGGAAGCUCAGCCGGCUCGCUGCUGCUAUAGGUAGACGCAGAGCGCCUUGUGCCGCUGUGCAGCUGCACGCCUGUGUUAGUGUAAGCUAUAUCCUGAAUUGCUGCAUUAAUCGGUGCAGCCCAGCCCCAAAAUCUUCCUAGCUACUGCACUACAAUCAGCAAUUCAGGAGAUUUCAGACCCAAUCAGUCCUUAUCUAGCGGUGCGUAGCCCUCGCGGUGCCUCCGCACGUGCAUGCUCGUAGGGUAAAAGGGAAUUCCUGAAGCAAAACACACACAC
rnacentral:lncRNA from 1 species